AGACCCGAAACCCGGUGAUCUAGCCAUGGGCAGGUUGAAGGUUGGGUAACACUAACUGGAGGACCGAACCGACUAAUGUUGAAAAAUUAGCGGAUGACCUGUGGCUGGGGGUGAAAGGCCAAUCAAACCGGGAGAUAGCUGGUUCUCCCCGAAAGCUAUUUAGGUAGCGCCUCGUGAAUUCAUCUCCGGGGGUAGAGCACUGUUUCGGCUAGGGGGCCAUCCCGGCUUACCAACCCGAUGCAAACUGCGAAUACCGGAGAAUGUUAUCACGGGAGACACACGGCGGGUGCUAACGUCCGUCGUGAAGAGGGAAACAACCCAGACCGCCAGCUAAGGUCCCAAAGUCAUGGUUAAGUGGGAAACGAUGUGGGAAGGCCCAGACAGCCAGGAUGUUGGCUUAGAAGCAGCCAUCAUUUAAAGAAAGCGUAAUAGCUCACUGGUCGAGUCGGCCUGCGCGGAAGAUGUAACGGGGCUAAACCAUGCACCGAAGCUGCGGCAGCGACGCUGAUGCGUUGUUGGGUAGGGGAGCGUUCUGUAAGCCUGCGAAGGUGUGUCGUGAGGCAUGCUGGAGGUAUCAGAAGUGCGAAUGCUGACAUAAGUAACGAUAAAGCGGGUGAAAAGCCCGCUCGCCGGAAGACCAAGGGUUCCUGUCCAACGUUAAUCGGGGCAGGGUGAGUCGACCCCUAAGGCGAGGCCGAAAGGCGUAGUCGAUGGGAAACGGGUUAAUAUUCCCGUACUUGGUGUUACUGCGAAGGGGGGACGGAGAAGGCUAUGUUGGCCGGGCGACGGUUGUCCCGGUUUAAGCGUGUAGGUGUGUGUUCCAGGUAAAUCCGGUUCACUUUAACACUGAGGCGUGAUGACGAGGCACUACGGUGCUGAAGCAACAAAUGCCCUGCUUCCAGGAAAAGCCUCUAAGCAUCAGGUAACAUCAAAUCGUACCCCAAACCGACACAGGUGGUCAGGUAGAGAAUACCAAGGCGCUUGAGAGAACUCGGGUGAAGGAACUAGGCAAAAUGGUGCCGUAACUUCGGGAGAAGGCACGCUGACACGUAGGUGAAGUGAUUUACUCAUGGAGCUGAAGUCAGUCGAAGAUACCAGCUGGCUGCAACUGUUUAUUAAAAACACAGCACUGUGCAAACACGAAAGUGGACGUAUACGGUGUGACGCCUGCCCGGUGCCGGAAGGUUAAUUGAUGGGGUCAGCGCAAGCGAAGCUCCUGAUCGAAGCCCCGGUAAACGGCGGCCGUAACUAUAACGGUCCUAAGGUAGCGAAAUUCCUUGUCGGGUAAGUUCCGACCUGCACGAAUGGCGUAAUGAUGGCCAGGCUGUCUCCACCCGAGACUCAGUGAAAUUGAACUCGCUGUGAAGAUGCAGUGUACCCGCGGCAAGACGGAAAGACCCCGUGAACCUUUACUAUAGCUUGACACUGAACAUUGAGCCUUGAUGUGUAGGAUAGG
rnacentral:rRNA from 1 species